CAGUUUUGGCGGAGCCAUCCUUGGGAUACCACCCUUGUAGUACUGGGACUCUAACCAUAGGCCAUGAAUCUGGUCUUGGGACACUGUCAGGUGGGCAGUGUGACUGGGGCGGUCGCCUCCCAAAAGGUAACGGAGGCGCUCAAAGGUUCUCUCAGUACGGUCGGAAAUCGUACGUAGAGUGUAAAGGCAAAAGAGAGCUUGAUUGCAAGACAUACAGGUCGAGCAAG
rnacentral:rRNA from 1 species